AAUAAACUAACGGUAGAUUGUGAUGUGAACUCACCGAGGAUUGUUGAGAUCGAGUGAACCACCAUUAAAACAAAUAAAACAAACAAUUUAUUGUCUUUCAUCUACUCCAUUGGAGGAUGAGGAAAAGUUUCUUGCACUUCAGUAUCAAAAGCAUUGAUUCUGAUCAUUUGAGAAUUCUAAAAAAUACUAUAAACACCAAUCGUCGAUAUUAUCGGUUGUCAAAUCGGUUGUAUCUGCCCUUCUUUGGGUUGAACUACAGACUUUU
rnacentral:lncRNA from 1 species